AUGACUUCCAAGCUGACCAUUGCUCUUUCGCUUUCUUGGCAGUUUCAUGCUCUCUCAAGCAAACGGUGUCUGGGGCUGCAGAAACCUGGAGAGAGAGGAUCCAGGGUAAACAUGCCUUCCAAGCUGACCAUUGCUCUUUUGCUUUCUUGGCAGUUUCAUGCUCUCCGUAGCAUCGGGCAAAGGUGGCCUGUGAAGAAGAUGGAGUCUGUAAUCCUCCAUGAGUGGGAAAAAAAGCAUUUGAACAUUAAACUUCCAUAUCCAAUGGUUUGUAGGAAAAUUUAUAUUUCUAGGUGUAUCAUGUCAUGUUCAUAAGACAGUAUUAAUAAUCUCAAUUCAUCCCAAAGUACUGAGCAAUCAGGAGAGAACUGGAUAAACAUGAUCCAUGAGGAAUAGAGCUGAAUGAAGCCAUAGGGAAGAAGCAUGCUUUGCUUAGGCGGGACUUGCACUGAUGACCUGACCAGCCUACUCUUUGUCUGUUUCCAUGCUAUGUCCUUCUCAAAGUAAACUAAGUAGGCAAAAUAAACUGAUUAAACUGGGUUUUUAACAAUACUCUACUGUCUUUUAGAAUGGGCAGCUGUGUUUAUUUUCAAGUUUUAAAACUUAGAUAUGUAUGUGUGUGCAUGUGCAUUUUCCUUUCUUAAAAGGUAAUAAAUGGUUAAAAUUUAUUAAAAUGGUAACUGUGGGUCAGGACUGUCUAUUGCUUUACAUUAUUUCAUUUAAUCUUUGCAACAGUUCUAUUGGUUAAGUAUUAUUAUCCCAUUUUCACAAAUGAGGAAACUGAGGCCCCAAAUAACAAGGCCUGGUAGUGUAUAUGAGAUCAUAGAGCUAGUAAAAAUGAUAAGCUAGACAGCCAAAUGCAGACCUUGAGUUUUUAAGUGUAAUGUUAGACCACUUUUUAUGUUCUUUAGAAUAUUUGAAAAAUAAUUGAAAAUGUCACAUAAUUGCAUUGCUAAGAUAUAGCUAUGCCAAAGCCUUUGACUGUGUGGAUCACAAUACACUGUGGAAAGUUCUGAAAGAGGUGGGAAUCCCAGCCCACCUGCCCUGCCUCUUGAGAAAUCUGUAUGCAGGUCAGGAAGCAACUGUUAGAACUGGACAUGGAAUAGAUAGGAAAAGACUGGUUCCAAAUAGGAAAAGACUGGUUCCAAAUAGGAAAAGGAGUCCGUCAAGGCUGUAUAUUGUCACCCUGCUUAUUUAACUUAUAUGCAGAGUA
rnacentral:lncRNA from 1 species